rnacentral:tRNA from 1 species
AGCCAGCUUAGCUCAGUCGGUAGAGCAUCUCACUCGUAACGAGAAGGUCGUCGGUUCGAUCCCGACAGCUGGCUA